AUCGAACGCUGGCGGCAGGCUUAACACAUGCAAGUCGAACGAGUGGCGGACGGGUGAGUAAUGCUUGGGAAUCUAGCUUAUGGAGGGGGAUAACUACGGGAAACCGUAGCCAAUACCGCGUACCAUAGGUUGAGCCCAAGUGGGAUUAGGUAGUUGGUGAGGUAAAGGCUCACCAAGCCGACGAUCGCUAGCUGGUCUGAGAGGGUGACCGGCCACACGGGGACUGAGACACGGCCCAGACUCCUACGGGAGGCAGCAGUGGGGAAUAUUGCGCAAGGGAGGCAAGCUGACGCAGCCAGGCCGCGUGAAUGAAGAAGGCCUUCGGGUUGUAAAGUUCUUUCGGUAGCUAGGCGUUAACUACAGAGAAAGCACCGGCUAACUCCGUGCCAGCAGCCGCGGUAAUUC
rnacentral:rRNA from 1 species